rnacentral:rRNA from 1 species
UAGGGAAUCUUCGGCAAUGGACGAAAGUCUGACCGAGCAACGCCGCGUGAGUGAAGAAGGUUUUCGGAUCGUAAAACUCUGUUGUUAGAGAAGAACAAGGACGUUAGUAACUGAACGUCCCCUGACGGUAUCUAACCAGAAAGCCACGGCUAACUACGUGCCAGCAGCCGCGGUAAUACGUAGGUGGCAAGCGUUGUCCGGAUUUAUUGGGCGUAAAGCGAGCGCAGGCGGUUUCUUAAGUCUGAUGUGAAAGCCCCCGGCUCAACCGGGGAGGGUCAUUGGAAACUGGGGGACUUGAGUGCAGAGGAGGAGAGUGGAAUUCCAUGUGUAGCGGUGAAAUGCGUAGAUAUAUGGAGGAACACCAGUGGCGAAGGCGGCUCUCUGGUCUGUAACUGACGCUGAGGCUCGAAAGCGUGGGGAGCAAACAGG